rnacentral:rRNA from 1 species
ACUCCUACGGGAGGCAGCAGUGGGGAAUAUUGCACAAUGGGGGAAACCCUGAUGCAGCCAUGCCGCGUGUGUGAAGAAGGCCUUCGGGUUGUAAAGCACUUUCAGUAGGGAGGAAGGUAGUGUAGUUAACACCUGCAUUAUUUGACGUUACCUACAGAAGAAGCACCGGCUAACUCCGUGCCAGCAGCCGCGGUAAUACGGAGGGUGCGAGCGUUAAUCGGAACUACUGGGCGUAAAGCGCAUGCAGGCGGCCUGUUAAGUCAGAUGUGAAAGCCCGGGGCUUAACCGUCGGAAUUGCAUUUGAAACUGGCAGGCUAGAGUCUGUAGAGGGGUUAGAAUUUCAGGUGUAGCGGUGAAAUGCGUAGAGAUCUGAAGGAAUACCAGUGGCGAAGCGGCCCCUGGACAAAGCUAGACGCUCAGAUGCGAAAGCGUGGGAGCAAACAGGAUUAGAUACCCCGUGGUAGCGACUGA